rnacentral:rRNA from 1 species
AAGCGUCUUAGUGGCGGACGGGUGAGUAACGCGUGGGUAACCUGCCUUACACUGGGGGAUAACACUUAGAAAUAGGUGCUAAUACCGCAUAACAGGGAAAGAUGCAUGUCUUUUCCUUAAAAACUCCGGUGGUGUAAGAUGGACCCGCGUCUGAUUAGCUAGUUGGCGGGGUAACGGCCCACCAAGGCGACGAUCAGUAGCCGGCCUGAGAGGGUGAACGGCCACAUUGGGACUGAGACACGGCCCAAACUCCUACGGGAGGCAGCAG